rnacentral:rRNA from 1 species
CUACGGGCCGCUCCAGUGGGGAAUAUUGCACAAUGGGCGCAAGCCUGAUGCAGCCAUGCCGCGUGUAUGAAGAAGGCCUUCGGGUUGUAAAGUACUUUCAGCGGGGAGGAAGGGAGUAAAGUUAAUACCUUUGCUCAUUGACGUUACCCGCAGAAGAAGCACCGGCUAACUCCGUGCCAGCAGCCGCGGUAAUACGGAGGGUGCAAGCGUUAAUCGGAAUUACUGGGCGUAAAGCGCACGCAGGCGGUUUGUUAAGUCAGAUGUGAAAUCCCCGGGCUCAACCUGGGAACUGCAUCUGAUACUGGCAAGCUAGAGGCUCGUAGAGGGGGGUAGAAUUCCAGGUGUAGCGGUGAAAUGCGUAGAGAUCUGGAGGAAUACCGGUGGCGAAGGCGGCCCCCUGGACGAAGACUGACGCUCAGGUGCGAAAGCGUGGGGAGCAAGCAGGAUUAGAUACCCUCGUAGUC